rnacentral:rRNA from 1 species
AUUGAACGCUGGCGGCAUGCCUUACACAUGCAAGUCGAACGGCAGCGCGGACUUCGGUCUGGCGGCGAGUGGCGAACGGGUGAGUAAUACAUCGGAACGUACCCUGUUGUGGGGGAUAACUAGUCGAAAGAUUAGCUAAUACCGCAUACGACCUGAGGGUGAAAGUGGGGGACCGCAAGGCCUCACGCAGCAGGAGCGGCCGAUGUCUGAUUAGCUAGUUGGUGGGGUAAAGGCCCACCAAGGCGACGAUCAGUAGCUAGUCUGAGAGGACGAUCAGCCACACUGGGACUGAGACACGGCCCAGACUCCUACGGGAGGCAGCAGUGGGGAAUUUUGGACAAUGGGGGCAACCCUGAACCAGCAAUGCCGCGUGUGUGAAGAAGGCCUUCGGGUUGUAAAGCACUUUUGUCCGGAAAGAAAUCGCGCUGGUUAAUACCUGGCGUGGAUGACGGUACCGGAAGAAUAAGCACCGGCUAACUACGUG